AAAUACUUGGGGCUCUGGUAAUUUGGUGGAAUCUAUAACAAACACCCCCACUCACCCACCCAAUCUCUCUCUCUACAAUUCACAUUUGUCUGUUAUAUGCCACCGUCUGGUCGGCAACAAGCCCUUCUAGUCAGUCACUAUAACAAACACCCCCACUCACCCACCCAAUCUCUCUCUCUCUACAAUUCAUAUUUCUUCUUGCUUUAAUGGACCUUCAGUUUUAAUUGCUCUGUUUCUUUGUUUGUCUGUCAAGAAUUCAUCUUUAUGAUUGGUUACAUGGAUUAACCGAAACUACUGGUAAUCUUUUUUUUUUUCAAUUUCAAGAUGAUUAAUGUGAUGGAUCAUGUGAACAAACCCAUGAACGAAGUGGACAGAAGCUUAGCUGACUCAGCAGCAGCUUCGGUUUGGCUAGAGCUGACAGUGGUGGUUGUGGUGGUGGUGGUGGCUGGAGGUGGCAGUCGUUGGAGAAGAUGACCGGAGUUGCAGGUUUCCGGUGACGGAAGUAGUGGUGGUGUUAUAUAUGAAAGGGAUAUUAAGUUGUGGUGGUGGCUGGAGGUGGCAGUGGUGGUUGUGGUGGUGAAUGGCGGUGGCAGUGGUGGCAGGGGGUAAUAUCACAGAGUGCACAAAACACAGGGGGUAAAUAUGAAAGGGCAUUAUAGUCAUUUCAAGUUAUAGUCAACAGAUUAGUCAACAAAUUUGAGGCCGGGGGGGGGGGGGUAAGGUUGCAACAUAACAGCAAACAGUGGGGGAUAAAAUUGCAAUUAUUUCCUUAGGGGGGGGUAAGGGUGCCAAUCACCCCUAACCACAGGGUGUAAAAUUGCAGUUUACUCUUAUAAUUAUUAUAUUAUAAACCUAUAAAUUAGCAACUUCUUUGUGCAUACAUGUGUUGUACUUUUAGCUUUGGGAGUGUUUCAAAAAAAAUUGGAAUUUUCCCUUUUUAACCCUAAAGUAUCAAUCUUUGACAAUUUUAGUUUAAGGUUUUAAUCUUUGGUAAUUUAACCCCCUUGAUUAAUUUGAUUUUUCACUUCUACUUCAAAAGUUUCCAUCUUAUACAAUUUAACCCCUUUGAUUAAUUUGGACUCUCAUUUCUAAUUCAAAAAUUUCCAUCUUUUACGAUUUAACUACUUUGAUUUUUUUUUUACUUUUAACCUAAAGCUUUUCAACUUUUGCAACUUUGACCCAUAUACUUUUCAUGUAUCGCAAGUUUUGUGUUUAACGUUUCGUUCUAGAUUUUCCGAGUUAACAUGGCACAACGUGCGUGUGGAGUUCAACAUUUUUCAUCUACUUUAUCCUGUUUGACAGGCCCGUCACAACACGUCUAUUUUUCUUCGUUUGAUAGGUCUGUUGCAAUGCGUGGGUCAUAGAUCGACUCAGUUAUUAUUUUAUAUGUUUUACACACAGGCUCGCCGUCAUGUAAGAAACAUUUGUCUUUCAUCUAAUAUGAUAGAUAACUAACGCAUUCUCCGUCGUAUUGCGGCGGGUGAUAAUUCUAGUUAUAACUUAUUAUCCUAACACAAACCAUGCAAAGUUUGAUGACAUUACAACAAAAUUAAAAAGUGAAUUACUUGAAAUCUAGACUUGGAGUCGUGUUUGACCUACCAUCGUUAUCGGGAAACAUAUUCUUUUUAUGGGAAUCCUUAUAUCAAUGGCGCAUCUAGCUAAAAAAUUCAGGGGUACCCAUUUAUUUUUGGGAUCAGGGGUAUCAUUUGUAUAAAAAACUAAAAAUUUUACACUACGUAGACGGAAUUGAAGAGUAUUGUUAUACUACAGAGACGGAGUUGAGGGGUCGUCUGGCUACCCCUCCUUAUACACUGGCUCCGCCGCUGCGUAUACUUAAUGGUUUAGGUGAUCACUUUAUAAUGCAUUUCAUAUAAAGUUGUUCCUUCACUAACCCAAACAUUUAUAGAUUAAUAGCUAACAACUUAAUACAUCCAAAUUAACUGUCUCAAAUUUUUUAAACAUGUAAGACAGCUAAAACCAGUGCACGUUUUGUCAUGGGUUGCCUUGAAGUCCUCCGCGGCCAGGGGCGGACCCACGUUAAUCGGAACGGGGUCCCCGGACCCUAAUCUUUUUUUAAAAAAUAGUAGAAGCGGUAUAUAAAAUUUUCUAUGGACCCUAUAAAAUAAUUUAGUUGGACCCCAUAACAAUGAGAGUGAGCCUGGUGUAGUGGUAAAACCCCUUGUUUACACCUGGUUCAAUACUUGUUUGUUUCAUUUUUUUGUGUUUUUUUUAAACCUGAUUUUAAAUUAAUCACUCUAUUUUUUUUCUAUUUCAAUUUUUUCUCACCUAUAUUUAGCUGAAAGUGUAGUAAAUGAAAUUUGUAAUUUAGUUAUGAUAUUGUUUUCUAUUAUGUUUCUCGACCCGACCCGAACAACGACCGAUCCAAAAAAUUUGAACACCGGAAAAAUGGGACCCCAUUGUCUAAAAAUCCUGGGUCCGCCACUGUCCGCGGCCCCCUCGGUCUCCUUUGGACUAGUAGUUUUGUCUCAUUUAUUGAUACAGGUCAUGGGAUCCGUCCUGUCGUUGAGUCAUCAAGGGAGUGACCUUAACUCCUAACCACUUGUUUGCGUUUUGGACCAAAUCUAGCCCAGCCCAACAACAUUCUGCGAUUCUUCUGCUGAUGACUUACAUAAAUCUGGUAUGGGAUUCCUGUUUGAAAUCAGUUUUGGGUAUGGUCAACAAUGUAAAAAAAAAUCGGGUAUUGUAAUACCCGAGUCAGGCAGCGAACCGGAUUUUAUAGAGGAAUUGAUCGGGUAGGGUUGUGUAUUCCCGGGUUGGACCUGGUUUCAAAUCAUAGGAUAUGGACUUGAUAAAUACCUGGCGGGUAGGGUCGAGUACGGAACCAGAUUGUAAUACCUAGGUUUUUUAUUACCCGAUUUCGGGUAGGGUAUAGUACUCGGUUUUUAUAUGCACCUCUACUUUUUGAAUGAUUCAUUCUUGAUUCAACUAAUCAAUUCUAGAGAGGGGUGUGCAAUGAUGGUUCGGUUCGGGUUUUACCUUUAACCAUAUCUGUAACCGCUAGCUUCGGUUAUGGAAUUUCCUUAAUCAUAGCCAUAACCAAACUUCGAUUCGGUUAAUUGGUUAUGAAAUUCGAUUAUGGUUCAGCUUUGGUUAAUUUCGGUUAAUUAACCGAUCUCAGUUUGCAUUUAAAUUUAAACUAAAUGAACAUAUUAGACAAUUAUUGUCUUAGUUUCAAUCAUAUUUAUAAAUAAAAAAGACAAAAAAAAAAAA